UGGGGAAUAUUGCACAAUGGGCGAAAGCCUGAUCCAGCAAUGCCGCGUGUGUGAAGAAGGCCUUCGGGUUGUAAAGCACUUUUGUCCGGAAAGAAAUCCUUGGCUCUAAUACAGUCGGGGGAUGACGGUACCGGAAGAAUAAGCACCGGCUAACUACGUGCCAGCAGCCGCGGUAAUACGUAGGGUGCAAGCGUUAAUCGGAAUUACUGGGCGUAAAGCGUGCGCAGGCGGUUUGCUAAGACCGAUGUGAAAUCCCCGGGCUCAACCUGGGAACUGCAUUGGUGACUGGCAGGCUAGAGUAUGGCAGAGGGGGGUAGAAUUCCACGUGUAGCAGUGAAAUGCGUAGAGAUGUGGAGGAAUACCGAUGGCGAAGGCAGCCCCCUGGGCCAAUACUGACGCUCAUGCACGAAAAGCGUGGGGAGCAAAACAGGAUUAGAUACCCUGGUAGUCCACGCCCUAAAACGAUGUCAACUAGUUGUGGGGAUUCAUUUCCUUAGUAACGUAGCUAAACGCGUGAAGUUGACCGCCUGGGGAGUACGGUCGCAAGAUUAAAAACCCAAAAGGAAUUGACGGGGUCAUAGCUGUUUCCU
rnacentral:rRNA from 1 species